UAAAUAUAGUAUAUACAUGUGGUUCUCAUGAUCCUUAUUGAGAAAGCAGUGAUGCUGAAUAAUAGUACAAAUAUAUUGCCCUUGAAAGUCUGAAUCAUUAAAGCAAUUUCCUGCCUUUUUUUUUUUAACUGCUGUUGAAAUUUUGCAGUUCUGUAGGGUUAUAGAUAUAUAAAAAUAUAUUUAGGUGGUUGAGAGAAGUGAUUAUUGCCCUUUGUUUAAAAGUGGGUGAGGCUUCAUCUGGAAUACUGUACAAUUUUGGGCCCACCAGUGCAAAAGACACUUGUUGAGAAACUGGACUGAGACCAGAGGAGGGCUAUUAAGAUGUAAUUUGCUUGAGCCCUUUAUCUGUAUGGGAGACCAAGGGAUCUGGAUUUGUUUGUUUUGGAGAAAAGGAGACUAGGAAUGAUCCAGUCACUGCUUUCAUCUUGCUAUUGUUAGCCAGUCUCUAGAAGUUUGUGGGUUGGGAGCUUUUCUACAUGACCUGCAGAGAUCUGCAACCAAUGCAUGCUUGUAUGAUUCUUUGAAAACUGUGUAAUUUGCACUUAAAGUAAAAUUAUAAUUGUUAAUUGACAGAAUAAAACCAUUGCAUAUGUUGUAUUUCCAAUGAACUGGAUUAACUGUUGUUUUCAGUUCUGUUUAGUGUAAUUACUUUUGAUUGCUUUCAAACACAAAGAUAAACCCAUCUGGUAACAGUUAGGGUAUGGAGAGGCUUGAGAUGGGUGAACUUUUCAUUGUGUUCUGAAGUAAUGAUUUAAACCAAGUUUCUGACAGAACUGUUAGUCUGACUGAUAUCUGGAUAUAAUGUUGUAAGUGAAUGUUGAUGUGUUGUUCUCAAGGUAGUGCUCAGUGUCCAAACAUUCAAAGCUUUUUGUGGCACAAUCUGUAUAAAAAAUGUAUGGCUCUGUGUACUGAAUCUCCCCAAAUGUGUGAUCUAGAGACAUUUUGUUUGGCCAUGACAGAGGUCAGAAGACACAAGGCAAUUCUAUUCUCCUUUAGUGUUAUCAGAGUUCCAAAGCUGUUCUGUCAACUGUUUUAAUUUAACAAAAGUUACAUUAUUUUGUGUAGCUGUUUGGUGUUUCAAGAACUGAAUAUGUUUCAAACACAAAUUCAGUUUAUGGAGUGUAAGGAGCAGAGGGAUACAUUUUGAAAACUGAGGUAAUUGAAAAGGAUUGGUGAAAGUCAAAUCUGAUGCACAAGGAAUAAGCUAGAAAUAGUGGCCUUGAUAUUGGAAGGGAACUGAACUCUUCCUUUCAGGUGUCACAGUAGAGGAAACAAUAGUUCAGCCAACUCCUUCUUUCUUGCUGUGGCCUCUCCUGGACUGCCAGUCCACACUUGGUCUUCCAGCCUUCACUUAGUUUCUCAAAAUAUGCUGCCUGAUCAAACCCAGCUUCUAAAUGUUGGGCCUUAGAACAUUUUUUUCACCCUAAAAGGGUCUUCUGUUUUUAACAAGUUAUUAGCAGAAUAUUGUGGAACAUUAUCCAAUUCUUCUAGCUGCUAUUCUCACUCUUGCAGUUCUUUUCAGAACUGAGUCAGCUGAACUAUCACUAUGACCAGUUCCUUCAUUUUCACUAAUCCUGCCCCAGUACUAUUAUGGGAGAGGUUGUGUGGCUGCAACAUUAGUUAAAAAAAAACCUCUGAAAUGCAGAAUGGUCAGAAAAUGAGAUCAAUUUUUUUUUGGUUCUCCUGACAAAUGCUUUUAUUGCUUGCCUUGUGUUCUUGUUACAUAUCUUGCUCUAUAGCUAUUGUUUCACAUUGUUGAACAUGAGAUGAAGGUAGAUCAGGUAGGAUUCAUUUGCUUUAUUUACUUUCCUGUGCAGGAUGAGAGGUAAUAAGUAUUUAGUUCCAUUUUAAGUGGGCCCUGGUUGUUUGGUGCCUUACUACAGCACUGCCAUUUAACCACAAUUUCAGCUGAAUGUUUCUUCACUACUAUUCAGCAAAUAGUGCUGUUCACAUUAGAAAAUCAAAUGAACUCAGUUGGCUCCAGGAAUGCCAACUGUAAGUACUGGGUAGCUAUUAUUAAUGUUUUUGAUGAAAACUUAUGGAAAAGUUUAAAUUUUUGAUUUCUGCUUCUGCUCUCAAAAAUAACAGCCUGUAAUUUAUUAAAUGGUGGAGAAAAGGAGUUCAUAGAGGAAAAAAUAGAAGUCUCUUUCUUCCCUGAAACAGUACCAUUUUUCCUUAUUCAUAAAAGCUGAAAUUAAUUUUAGUAUCAGCUUGCACGUACUCAUAUCAUGUUUUGAACAAAAUUGACCCACAAAAUACUAAUGCUAAGGGUAAUUCAUGAGCAGAUGGAAAAGGGAACAAACAGAGAAAGAGAAAUUUUUCAUAUAAAUGAAAAAAGCAAAGCAAACCCACUUGUCUAUGAAAGGCAGUGUACUCUGCAAGCUUGAUUAAAUGAGGGUGUUUUAGAUUUUUGUAUACCAUCAUUUCAUUCAGUAUUACUACUGCUUUAGUAGAAGUGUUUAAAUGAAAGCUGUCCUGUGUGACCAGGAUUUUCAUAUUGCUUUCAAUAUGCAGACUAAUUUUUUUAAAGUAGAAAUACCUUUUAAAGUAUAUAUUUUUAAGUACAGAUACAUUUUUUAUAAUAAAAAAAUCUUAAAACUAUGUUUACUUCAUUGAUAGUUGUUCUACUGUGGGAAGUAAUGCUAGCAGCAUCCUGAAAUAGAAGCUGGGGGUUUUUGCUAAUGGAAGAUACUAAAAAAGGGACUGCUUUCUGCAGACAAAAUAUUUCUAAUGGUGGAGGGAAUAAAAGGGUUAACAGGUCCUGUCUUCAAAUGCUUCUUUUUCUUUCCAAAUAGGGUUGCUAGACUGCUUUUAAAAUAAUUUGGCUUCUAAUGGUGAGCAGUUUCAAACAUGGUUUGAGAAGUGCUGCUCUGUUUUAUUUCCUUAGCUUCUCCAUGAAGGGUGAGUGCUGCAGUCCUGACUCGUUCUCCAAGUGCUUAGUCUGGCUACACAUGAAGAAUGGGCAGAUUUAUGAAUUUCACAGCUGUUGCAAGCUAAACUGUAGUCUGGUUUGAUAAGCAGAAACAGGUGCAUCUCUAUGCCUGUUUGUAGUCAGCUACAGAGAAGUUUUUGUGAAUCAAAACAAGAUAUGAAGACAAGGAAUGCACUUAGAGAAGGUGGAAGUGUCCAAACUAUUUACAUUUUGAACAUGAUGAGUUUGAAGCAGUGUUGUAUCUUUUCCCUAGCUGCAGUAAAGGCUGUUACUACCUGCCUAAAUAAAAGAUAAUUUUAUGAUAA